GCCAGUAUGGCAUAGUGGUUCAAGUGCCGGAUUAUGACUCUGGAGAUCAGGGUUGAAAUCCCGGCUCAGCCA